rfam:Beta vulgaris subsp. vulgaris chromosome 7, whole genome shotgun sequence.
ACACCAUGAUGAGGACACUUACAUUGUAAAUCUUUAAACCUUCGUCAUGCUUCAUAUAAAGACUCCCCGUCAUAUUGACCAAAACUACUUAUAUCGUUUCUAAACUU